rnacentral:rRNA from 1 species
UUUGGUGGGGUAAUGGCCUACCAAGUCUACGAUCUAUAGCUGGUUUUAGAGGAUGAUCAGCAACACUGGGACUGAGACACGGCCCAGACUCCUACGGGAGGCAGCAGUGGGGAAUCUUAGACAAUGGGCGCAAGCCUGAUCUAGCCAUGCCGCGUGUGUGAUGAAGGUCUUAGGAUCGUAAAGCACUUUCGCCAGGGAUGAUAAUGACAGUACCUGGUAAAGAAACCCCGGCUAACUCCGUGCCAGCAGCCGCGGUAAUACGGAGGGGGUUAGCGUUGUUCGGAAUUACUGGGCGUAAAGCGUACGUAGGCGGAUUGGAAAGUUGGGGGUGAAAUCCCAGGGCUCAACCCUGGAACUGCCUCCAAAACUAUCAGUCUAGAGUUCGAGAGAGGUGAGUGGAAUUCCAAGUGUAGAGGUGAAAUUCGUUGAUAUUUGGAGGAACACCAGUGGCGAAGGCGGCUCACUGGCUCGAUACUGACGCUGAGGUACGAAAAGUGUGGGGAGCAAACAGGAUUAGAUACCCUGGUAGUCCACACCGUAAACGAUGAAUGCCAGUCGUCGGGCAGUAUACUGUUCGGUGACACACCUAACGGAUUAAGCAUUCCGCCUGGGGAGUACGGUCGCAAGAUUAAAACUCAA